UUCUUCAUCGAAAAGCAACUCGAUCUGUCGGCGAGACGCUUGCUUCUGGAGGAGCGGAGUGAGUGACGUCAUCUCCGAGAGGAAGAGGAGGAGGAGGAGAGGCUCUGCCUGCGAGCACCGAUGACAUCAACGAGCUCAAGACUCUCCGGAGGCUCUGCCUGAGAGCGGAAUAUGAUGCUCGAGUCUCCUCCAAAGGCACCUUCGCGCAGGAAUACCGGAUCAGACCGCUGAGGAUUAUGAAAACCAGGACAUGAAGCUCAAACACAUCUAGAAAAAAAAGAAACGAGUGUGUGUGUCUGGAGUCAGUCGUCGAGGGUCAUGGCUGUCUGGGGCAGGGGUCCUCUCCGCUCCUCGCUGCUGCUGCUCAUCUUCAUCUUCCUGCAGAACUCCUGCGACUCCUUGUUGGCGCCGAGGUUCACUAAGAUUCCCGCAGAUCAGAUCGGCGUGUCCGGCGGAGUCGUGUCGUUCGUGUGUCAGGCCGCAGGCGACCCCAAGCCUCAGGUGUUCUGGAACAAAAAGGGCAAGAAAGG